GCGGCAGUAGUUCAGUGGUAGAGCCCUCGCCUCACAUACGGGGAGACCUGGGUUCGAUUCCCGGCUGCUUCC
rfam:Toxocara canis scaffold565, whole genome shotgun sequence.